AACUGCACAUAUCUUAGAUCCGAAAAAACUUGCUAACACAGGUUUGAAAACUAAACACGUUCCGCUGACGUAACUAACAUAUGUGGAGCUAGAGAGACGCCUGUGGUUUUUGACCCCUUUUGGCUUUGCUCAUACAACAGUACGAAACAAGACGUUACAGACAAUAGCUGACAGGGCUGAAUACUGGAAAUCAAAUUAGUGCUUACCUAUUGCUGGCAAAAGGUAUCCCAUGCACCAUUGCAUCUAGGGGCUGUGACGUAACAUUCACUGAGAGUGGUCGCUCAAGCAUGAUGCGUAGCAGAGUGCUUCUCGACACUUCUCGAGUGUUCUGUCAAUUCCCAAGUGCUUUAUGACUGCACAAACCACAGCAAGCAAGUUUUUUAUUUCUUUUAUAAAACAUAGAAAAACCGUUAUUUUAGAUAGGAAUAACGCAACUAAAAGUGAGCGCGCGUGCGUUGUGCUCUCAUAAAACACGCGCUCUCAACCAAUCAGAAAGCGACAUUUAUAACAGUUAUUUUAUAAUAAUAAUAAUAAAUGCUAUCCACGCAGUGUCGUAAGUGACCCCUUUAGUUGUCUACCUUUUUGUUAAGAGUAGAAACUUGUGGGAUAAAAACAAACAUUUGCUGAUAGUUAUUGCGAUAACCCAGUUCAAUAAUGUACGUAGCUAACUAUUGACAUUAACUUCAGAACAAAUAGAUUCUAUUAUUAUCGUAGCAUUAUGAUCUUCACCUUGGCUGGCAUUGGUUUUGAUGUUAAAAACGUUAUUCACAUAAGCGCCUAGUAAUCUCUCCGUUACAACUGUACAAUAGCAAGACUCGUGAUGUUUUGAUUAACAGAUUAAUCCCUGUAAAGCUCUUAAUCUAGGACAUCCAUAAGGAAAGAAAGCCAUAAGAAAUAGAAAAUCAAAGCGUCCUAAUCAUUGAAAGACAAAGAUGUAAUUGUAACAAGACCUUUACAAGAAAAAACUUAAAUUUGUAACAAAAACUUGGUCACAAGGUCGUCAUCUACCAAUCAGUAUUACGCCAUCUAAUCAAAUACUUAGGAUAGCAGACUCUUCCUCCUCGAUAGACCUUAACGAAACAAUGCCUUUUCAAGUUGAUAUUGGGCUUGAUGUGUUCCCACUCAAGCGAAAGGUCUCGUAUUGUGCACAGACAUUUUGAGUGAAGGAAGAUGCACACAAUCUGGCUAAAACUGGAGAAAAGCAAGUUUCCCAAGAUUUCCUACAACCACUUCCAAUAAUGCAUAGAACUGAAUAUAUUGAUAAAAUAACUGAGAUCACAAGUAUACUCUACAUAGUGCCCCGUGAAUAUCAGGUAUUAACUAUCUAUGCGCAUGACUAGAUAGCUGUCUUAUGAUUUCUGAUACCGCUGAUCAAGUUUGCAGCUGAAGAGUAAAGGAAUGAUUUGUUGAGCUUUAGGAAGUAUUUGGUUUAGCCAUGUUCAAAUACAGGGAACAAUCAUCACACAAAAAACCUGCUCAAAAACACUUUUUAAAUACCACAAAGUUAGCACAUUUCAACACCGGAAGGCAAUAGAUUGACAUGCCAUUGAUUAAAUAUACAAUUAUUUCACAUAUCUUUCGCUUGGGUAUUUUAAUUAAUAUUCACUUACAAGUAGGGUGUUGUUUGCUGGAAUGGAGAGAUUUCCUGGCCCGACGUCUGUCCGGCCAUCCUCACAAGUGACACUCAUAGACAGUUCAGUUCAGAUACAGUGCAGACCACUGUAAAAUAUGACAUAACAAUGUCUGGUAGUCUAAGUUUUGCUGCUUGGAAGGAGGUUUGUUAGUGUCAGCCUCAUGUUGGCAUAGUUUCGUGUUGGAACAGAGUGAAUGUCAUUACUAGUGAUUAAUUCAGAAUGUGAUUAAAAUUUAGGUGUCAAGUGUUCAGGAAUUUCUCUCCCCCGGUACCCACGAGUGGUCUAUCGGGCCUAUCGAUCUGUAUUAGAUUUUCUCGUAGUACAUAUAAAAAAGAUUAAAUCAGAGUUGUAAACGCAA